CUUAAACUGAAGAGUUUGAUCAUGGCUCAGAUUGAACGCUGGCGGCAGGCCUAACACAUGCAAGUCGAGCGGU
rnacentral:rRNA from 1 species